CCGGCCUUGGCUGAGGCUCAGCCCAACGCCUGGCCUCCGCUACCGCAGUUUCAGCCGCGACGGCGGCUGGGGGCGGGCCCGGUGGCUGCAGAGCCCGCCCUCUGAGAAUGGCUGCGUUGGGGGAGGCGACGGAUCUGGAAGCUGCUGGAAAGCGCUCGAGUGGCGGAGGUGACGUCACUGGGGGUGGGGCGUGAUUAAAACUAGUUCGCGGCCGGCAGCGGAGGGAUUUCGCUGAGGAAAGAGAGUAGCACGUGUUUUGCUGCGGUCUGGCCCGCGAGACCCCGAGUCGGAAGCCGACGCGCCCUUGAGUGACCUGGUGGGCGGGCGAGGGGCGGGCUCCCGGGCCGGCGGAGGGUGCCCGGGAGGCUCUAGGCUGGUGCGUCCACGCGGCACCGCCGUCUCUCCGACUGUGGGCCGCGCGAGGCCUGCAUAGGCCGCCGUGCUAAAGCCUCCGUGAGACUCGAGCUGCCUGAGUGCGUGUUCAGAAAGGUCACCACACACGGAGCUGCCCCUCCCUAUCUCCCCAAGCCCCAUCUUCGGGGCCAGGGGCUUUUCUGCCCGGAUUCUGGGAUGUUUCUCCUCCUUCCCUCCCUCCCAGAUCUUCUAACGGUAAGGGCCGAAGCACAGGGACCCUGUCCACGACCGGUUCCAGCCCGUCAGCCUCGGCUCCGUCCCUGCCACGCCGACUCCGGUCUCCUGACUUGUAACGGAGGAGAACGGGAGCGCUCUCCUUUGUGAGUUCAGGCGGCUUUCGUAGGGAGGUCAUGUGGUUCCGGGCAGCGUGACCGCGUGUGCUGCUUCCUAGUCUGCAUUCCGAACCUGGGGGCAGCGCAGUCCUGUGGUUCGAUUGGUUCUAGUCCUAGAAUAACGAUAUGCAGGUUCUGCCCGGUUCUUCGCGGAGCACCCGCGGCAGUGUGGGCUGUGGUUCUCUUCGUGGUCUCGGGCCGAAUGGCCGCCCGAGCUGGUCUUGUGGAGGAACGCUGACCGUAUUGAUAGGGUGGCACAGAGGGACCGAGUCCUGUACACAGAAAAGUUCUAAAGUGAAAAAGCAUUUUAGUUUUUGGUGCUUCUGAAUGCAAAUGGCCAAGAAAUCCAGCAGGAAGUUUGUUUUGCUUUUCCCAGACUGAAAUAUAGGCAGGAUGUCUUCACUGUCGUCUCCAUCUCAUGACCCAGAGACACCUGCUUAUGAAAGAAUAGGAGUCCUGACCAUUCAGGGCCUCUCAAAACAAGUCAAUCUCACCAAAUGUCCAUGAAGGAUGUUUACUCUGAUUCUGUUGCACUUUCCCAGGCCACACUUGUCAUUGCCUGCAUGUUCAUGAACAUCAAAAGCACCAGUGAUUAGAUCUGGAAAAUGGGUGUCAAU